rnacentral:lncRNA from 1 species
GGCCAGGGAAAGAAGUCUGGAACAAAGGGAAGACAGAUGACCAUGAUUGACUUCAUUCUUUUACCUCCUGAGAUGGCGAUGGGAUGGGGGACACACAGGAAGAAGCAGGGUCCAUGAGCCUCAGCCCUUGGCUUAGGAGGAGGAGCAGUACAUUUCCACCUACCUUCUCUAAGACAUCUUCCCUUUGCUUAGGCUUACCUGGGGGUGGAGGUACACAGGGAAGGUCAAGCAGGUGUACCAGGGCACCUCCUGGGGAGGGGUCCAGAUGGGGAGGAUGCUGGACAUCCCCAGAAGCCCCAUCCAGGAGAUCUAGCAGAUCCAGGAGCUGUGAGGCCUGGCAGAAGGGACAGAAGGGGCAGGGCUGGGUAUGAAGCUCAGCCCGUCUUCCUACCCCAGAGUUUCUAGCCUUCUCACCUGGGGCUCUGUGGGCACUGGGGCUGCUUCUGAAAGCUGGGCUGCUUCUUUGCUUUCCUUUGCUUCCUCAUCAGCCUGAGGGCCAUCUCGCUCCACAAGAGGCAUUUUUUCCAGGAUGGCAGCCCUGAGAGGAUGGAAUGCAAGUGUGCCUCUGUGUGGUCUCUGGGCCUUUCACAAGAGGCAUCUAGGAUGAGGACUAGGAAUAUGGAGCCCUGGGCACAUGGUGGCUCAGAAGUACCCUUCUGAUUUCCUAAAAUGACAUGUUGUUGCUGAUUUUCAGAUGAACAAGGAGGGUUGGAAGCCAGCUUAGCUUCAAUUAACAGUGGGUGGGAAGCUCUCACCGUGGAUAUGGAAGAACACAGGUGAGGAUGAGGCCCUUGUACCUAGAAAAGGGCAUUUGGGAGAGGGCAGGGGUUUGGGUCCCAUGCUGCAGCACAGUGCUGGACACACCUCAUGUGGUCGUAUUUCCGGAAGAGUGUGUCAUACUCCACAGCCCGCUGCUGCAGCUCCACGUCCAAGCAGCUCCCGUAGAUGGACACCACCUGGCGGAUGCGGCUGGGCCAGUGUAGUUUGUUGUCCCCACAGAGGCGAGUGCUGAGCUUCAUGAGGGCUGUGAGGGCAUAUCCUCGAGUGGCUGGCAGGGACAUGUGGGACUGCAGCACCUUUUCCAGCAAUGCCAGCACUUCCUCUUCGUCC